rnacentral:rRNA from 1 species
GUCCACGCCGUAAACGAUGAGUACUAAGUGUCGGGUUAAACCGGUACUGAAGUUAACACAUUAAGUACUCCGCCUGAGUAGUACGUACGCAAGUAUGAAACUUAAAGGAAUUGACGGGACUCCGCACAAGCGGUGGAUCAUGUUGUUUAAUUCGAAGAUACCCGAAAAACCUUACCAGGUCUUGACAUGUUUUUGCAAAAUGAUAGUAAUAUCGUGGAGGUUACCAGAAACACAGGUGGUGCAUGGUUGUCGUCAGCUCGUGUCGUGAGAUGUUAGGUUAAGUCCUAAAACGAGCGAAACCCUUAUCGUUAGUUGCCAGCACGUUAUGGUGGGGACUUUAACGAGACUGCCAAUGAUAAAUUGGAGGAAGGUGAGGAUCACGUCAGAUCAGCAUGCCCCUUAUGACCUGGGCUACAAACGUGAUACAAUGGCUGUAC